rnacentral:rRNA from 1 species
UACGAAGGGGGCUAGCGUUGCUCGGAAUCACUGGGCGUAAAGGGCGCGUAGGCGGCUUUGUAAGUCGGGGGUGAAAGCCUGUGGCUCAACCACAGAAUUGCCUUCGAUACUGCAUGGCUUGAGACCGGAAGAGGUAAGUGGAAUUGCGAGUGUAGAGGUGAAAUUCGUAGAUAUUCGCAGGAACACCAGUGGCGAAGGCGGCUUACUGGUCCAUAACUGACGCUGAGGUGCGAAAGCGUGGGGAGCAAACAGG